rnacentral:rRNA from 1 species
GACAGAGGGUGCAAACGUUGUUCGGAUUUACUGGGCGUAAAGCGCGUGUAGGCGGCUUGGCAAGUCGGAUGUGAAAGCCCACGGCUCAACCGUGGAAGCGCAUCCGAAACUGCUUCGCUCGAGUCUCGGAGAGGAAGGUGGAAUGCUUGGUGUAGAGGUGAAAUUCGUAGAUAUCAAGCAGAACACCUGCGGCGAAGGCGGCCUUCUGGACGAUGACUGACGCUGAGACGCGAAAGCGUGGGGAGCAAAUAGG